GGAUAAUAGCUUCCUACAGUGGCUUCAAUCUGCGGAAUCUUCGAAACUUUCUUAUCACGACAGCGACAAAGACGUCACUUAUAUAUACUUGUAGAAGAUAGAGCAAAAGAUUGAAGAAAGUGAAGCGAAUGAUGUGAUGGGAAUAAUAUAUAUGAAAACGAAAAAACGACACCGGAAAGGUGAAGCUGCCCAUGAAAACCACUUCUAUAAUCUGCAAAAGGAACAAUUAUAUACAAAAGAUGUGAGAGGUCCUACACGACGAGAUCUCGUGUGACCCAUGAGAAACAAAUCAAGCGUCAUCAGGAGGCUAUUAAAAUCGCCGUAACAAAAAACGGAUAUGGAACAGAAAGUGAAUGAAGAAACUUCUUCAAUAAUAACUAUAUUAGCGUGAUACUCAUGAUUUCGGCGGCUAUUUACUAUAUUGGUUUCGAUGUAAAGAUAAUAGAUAAUAUAUCUCUCUUAAUA